AGGACGAACGCUGGCGGCGUGCUUAACACAUGCAAGUCGAGCGGUAAGGCCCUUUCGGGGGUACACGAGCGGCGAACGGGUGAGUAACACGUGAGCAAUCUGCCCUUCACUUCGGGAUAAGCCUCGGAAACGGGGUCUAAUACCGGAUAUGACUGCGCCAUGCAUGUGGUGUGGUGGAAAGUUCUGGCGGUGAGGGAUGAGCUCGCGGCCUAUCAGCUUGUUGGUGGGUAAUGGCCUACCAAGGCUUCGACGGGUAGCCGGCCUGAGAGGGUGACCGGCCACACUGGGACUGAGACACGGCCCAGACUCCUACGGGAGGCAGCAGUGGGGAAUAUUGGACAAGUGGGCGAAAGCCUGAUCCAGCAACGCCGCGUGAGGAUGGACGGCCGUUCGGGUUGUAAACCUCGUUUCAGCGCCGACGAAGCGAGAGUGACGGUAGGCGCGAAGAAGGAAGCGACCGGCCAACUACCGUGACCAGCACGCCGACGGUAACUCGUGACGGCGGACGUGGACG
rnacentral:rRNA from 1 species